CGCCGCUCUAUUGAGCAGAGCAAACCAUACAGCUUGUGCUCUCUGACAUGCGUUACAUGAUGUCAAGUGCUCUCCAUCUCCCUCUGCUGGCACAUGUUUGUGGGCAGGCAGCGGCUUGCUAGCUGGCAUUGCGAUGGACACAACGAACAAACAGACAUACUUUUUUACCACAUUUUUCCCGUUUGGGUUUUUAGUUUUUCAUGUGGGGGGCCUACUACACAACUCUCUGAAAGUAGUGCAAGCAGCAUGUGCUGCUGCGACGCCAGCAGAGCACCUUGUUUGUGCUAGCGACGACAGCGUUGAACGGCGCUGUUGGGUUUCGUUAGAAUUGAGUCGUUGUUCUACUGUCGUCGAGAUUGCAACACAACAGUCAAACAGAGUUUAUUUUCGGGUGCGUCGCUGUUUUUUCCUCAAACAACAACAAAGAAUUUAAGAAAAAUUAACCAAAAAAAAUUAGAAAACAAGAAUACCUAUCACUAAAAAAAAAAUCAAGCCCCAGCCUACCAAAAACCAACAACCAUCCAAGCGUUGCCGUCUGCCUGUUCGAAGAAGUAGAGCAAUUGCGUAUCGGUGUACGUAAAGAUAUCGACAAAAUCCCACAUAAUCGCCCAGAAAACAAAAAAAAAAAAAGAAUUCCCUCGGUCUAUUCAAAUCAAAUCAAUUUUUCGUGGUGUUCCAUAGAAGUCAUACGCCGUCUCUCUGGGGUAGCCUAGUCAGUCAGUCGUCUCUGGCCAUUGUUAUCGCAGCCGUUCGUUCUAUUGCCGCCGUCUCUUUUUGCCUUUUUGUAAGCGCCAAGCUAAUGAAAACGCGUUGUUUGUUUGUUUUCUUAGCUUUUCAACUAACUACAGCAAAUUAUUGUCAUUAUCACCAUCAUCAUCAUCAUCGACAUCAACGUUGUUAGUGUUGUUAAAUCACAGCCUACAAACAACCAACCAAACAACAACAAACAUCGAGUUUGCGUGCGUGCGUUUGCGUGUUUAUUUAUUUGUUGUAGGCGAUUAAUUGCAAUUGUUGUCAAAUUGUUCGUUUGGCUCUGAUCGCAGCUAAAAAUAGCCCAAAAAAAAGCCGUUCUGUCUGUCGUUGCCAGAAUACCGACAAAAUUCCGCUACCCCUUCUCUAGGCACACCAAAAAAUCCACAACGAGUGACUUGAGCAACAUUUGCAUUUUAUGGCCAGUGAUUAAAACUUACUCAAAGGAAUUUUCAAAAAGGAAAUAGGGAAUUUCCCAUAUAAAUACGAUUUGUAUCAAAUGCCAUAGGAAAUGGUGUUGAAAAGUUUGAAGGAAAAUUUUUGGCCAAUAGGCACCUGUAAGAAAGGAAAAUGAAAUAAAGUCUUAACAACUGUGAAUAAAAG
rnacentral:sRNA from 14 species